rnacentral:rRNA from 2 species
UAAGUCAGCCACGAAUAGGCUAUCCCAACUAACGGCGGGAAAGACUCCACGGAGGGUGUAAGACCCGUGUGGGCGCGUGUUAAAGCUGUGUGGGCUCGGCCUCCAUUCCCUGAGAGUCGCGUUGCUUGAGCAUGCAGCGCUAAGCAGGUCGUAAACUCGAUCUAAGGCUAAAUAUUUCCACAGAACCGAUAGCGAACAAGUACCGUGAGGGAAAGUUGAAAAGCACUCUGGAGAGAGAGUCAAAAGACCGUGAAACCGCUCAGAGUAUAAGCCCAUGGCAGCUUGGAAGGCAUAUCGCUAGCGGGGCAUCGGUCUCCCUUCGCGGGGAGCUGGUGUUACCUUGCUUCUGUUGUGGCUCGUCAUGGUAGGGGGGUCAGGUCCACAUCCCGCCGUCGUGUGGAGAGUUCUCGGGUGUGUUGUGGUUUCUCGGUUGGCUUCGGCUUUCCGGGGGGCUCUUCGUACUUGGUUCUCUUUUAGACACGGACGUUCAGACUCAGUUGCAAGACGCGAUAACCAGCCCACCACGGCACGUUGUGAGGUCACCCACAGGCUCGACUUUCGAUUGUGAGCCUUGACGCCGAGCAAGCACAAUGCGUGUCGCAGAGGUUCCUAACCAGGCAAUGGUGCCAGGAUCGUGGAACGACACGCGCUCAAGAGUCAGGUUCGGGCGGAGACAGAGUUCUGGUAUGAUCCUCUUGCGACGAGCCGGCUUCUGGCCGACAUCCGAUGCUCAGGUCUCCCGCAUGUGCCGCGGGAGAUCGCUUUGACGGUCUGGA